rnacentral:rRNA from 1 species
CCUACGGGAGGCAGCAGUGGGGAAUUUUGGACAAUGGGCGCAAGCCUGAUCCAGCCAUGCCGCGUGUGUGAAGAAGGCCUUCGGGUUGUAAAGCACUUUCGGCCGGAACGAAAUCGCGCGAGUUAACACCUCGCGUGGAUGACGGUACCGGAAGAAGAAGCACCGGCUAACUACGUGCCAGCAGCCGCGGUAAUACGUAGGGUGCGAGCGUUAAUCGGAAUUACUGGGCGUAAAGUGUGCGCAGGCGGCGCCGCAAGUCGAGUGUGAAAGCCCCGGGCUUAACUUGGGAAUUGCGCUCGAAACUAUGGUGCUGGAGUGUGGCAGAGGAAGGUGGAAUUCCACGUGUAGCGGUGAAAUGCGUAGAGAUGUGGAGGAACACCGAUGGCGAAGGCAGCCUUCUGGGCCAACACUGACGCUCAUGCACGAAAGCGUGGGGAGCAAACAGGAUUAGAUACCCUGGUAGUCCACGCCCUAAACGAUGAUGACUAGUUGUUGGAGGAGUUAAAUCCUUUAGUAACGCAGCUAACGCGUGAAGUCAUCCGCCUGGGGAGUACGGUCGCAAGAUUAAAACUCAAAGGAAUUGACGG